rnacentral:rRNA from 1 species
GGCUCAGGAUGAACGCUAGCGGCAGGCUUAACACAUGCAAGUCGAGGGGUAUAGGUCUUCGGAACUAGAGACCGGCGCACGGGUGCGUAACGCGUAUGCAAUCUACCUUUUGCAGAGGGAUAGCCCAGAGAAAUUUGGAUUAAUACCUCAUAGUAUAGCAGUUUCGCAUGAAACCACUAUUAAAGUCACAACGGCAAAAGAUGAGCAUGCGUCCCAUUAGCUAGUUGGUAAGGUAACGGCUUACCAAGGCUACGAUGGGUAGGGGUCCUGAGAGGGAGAUCCCCCACACUGGUACUGAGACACGGACCAGACUCCUACGGGAGGCAGCAGUGAGGAAUAUUGGACAAUUGGCGCAAGCCUGAUCCAGCCAUGCCGCGUGCAGGAUGACGGUCCUAUGGAUUGUAAACUGCUUUUGUACAGGAAGACACACUCCCUCGUGAGGGAGCUUGACGGUACUGUAAGAAUAAGGAUCGGC